UGAGUGUGUGUGUGUGUGUGUACCUUCAUCACGUUGAUAAAAGUCAUAAAAUGAAAGAAUAUAUUCAUAGAGAAAAGUAUAAUUGUAUUAAAGCAUGUAAUUUUAUUAUAAAAUAAAUCCAAAAAUGUAUAAAUACAAAAUCAUUAAAGCAUACAUCAUUCCCUCCCACCCCACAAGUAAAAUGCACAAAACACUUGAAAAAAAAAAAACCCCACCACAUUUCAGAAUUUUUAGACAUUAAGGCAAAGGGGAUACAUUAAAGACCCUUAAGUGUGGCAAAACAGGACUUUUUUUAAUGGAAAAGUCCUAGUAUUAUAGGUGAUUAAAAAUAUGACAAUUAAAAUUUAUUUGGCAUAUGCCCAUACACAGAGGGUUAGGUGGUUGUAUGAUAAAUCAGCAUUUAGGAACCAUUAAAAAGGCACUUGCAGCUGUGUCCCAGUUACUGGCUUGCAGUACUGCAUCCUGGUAGCAAAAGGCAGAUGCCAAACACAAUGGGACAGGCUGGGUUUAGCAGUGAAGAGUAUGUCACUGAAUUAGACAAACAAUUGAAUAGAGCAGAUUAAUUUACAUACAUCGCCUUCCAUUUUUUUUUUUUUUUUUUUAAACUCACAAAGGAGAUUAUUACAAAGCAAUCUGUUCACACACGAUAAAAUUUGUAUCAUGUAAAAUCUUUUUUUAUUGGACACAAUUUUUUAGUGCCAAGCUUUCGGGAGAACCUCCCUUUCUCAAGUCUGAAGCGUUUCUGAGCAAGACGACACAGAAUUCAAAGUGGAGUUGUGAUACAAGGGUUAAAGCGACAUGCACAGACACUAUUAAACACCACAAAGAAAGAUCGUACUGCACUCCUGUGGGACACUUUAUCAAUAUACAAAGUACUAUAUGUAGACCUAUGCUUUCCCAUACAUAAAGUUGGGUUUUUUUUGAUUUGUGUAUGAGUUCAUGUGCAUGUAUGUUAUGUGUUUAUGUAUAUGUAUUUAUGCGUUUGCAUAUACAUAUUUAUGUGUGCGCACGCGCAUGUAUAAAGUGUACCAUCCUCUGCACGGUCUGCUUGUUUUUUCUCUCCCCACUCACUCUGCUCUUCAGAAAGAUAUCUACAACCCUCUGCGAGAAUGGUGUCUAUUUUCUAACAAACCUGUGUGUUAUCUGCACUCAUGUCGCGUUAACCCCGUAUCACAACUCAACUUUGAAUUCUAUGUGUCAUCUUGCUCAGAAAUGCUUCAGACUUGAGAAAGGGAGGUUCUCCCAAAAGCUUGUCAUUAAAAAGUCUGUUAGUCCAACAAAAAAAGGUAUUACAAGAUACGAGUUUUAUCUGUUUUUUUUUUUUUACGAUCGAUAGAUAGAGUGCAUACCAAUAAGCAGUACAAGCAAUAUGGAACAGCUGUUUUUCUAAAGUUGCAAUGCUCAGACCUGGCGGUAUUCUCAUAGUUUACAGUAAAUAAACUAAUAAGGGACACAGAAGGCACAGAACACAGGUUGUGCGUAAAGACUUUGCUUACAUAUGGUAGGUCUGUUUCCAGGAUAGAUAUUAAAUUGGUUCUUUCAAUAAGUGUUGCAGGAGGAAAAAAUGAAAACACUGCAGCAUUUUAUCAGACAAUUGAGGAAGGCUUUGCCAUAUUGUGCCAUCUUCCCAUUUACAGAUAUGGCACAUAACAUAUGGGGUAAAGUGCUUUAGACAAAUAUAAAGCAUAAUAAAAAAUAAAAACUCACAUUGAAAACUGGCCUUAUUUAUUCUCUCAUGUACACAUUUAGCUUUUGUCUUUAUACAAUUUAACCAGACAGGACCUGCCAGAUUGCAGUGCAUAGUUGUGACAGGAUUGGCUUUCAUUGGAUUUGUGAAAUCACUCUUGAUUGAGGAAAGAUGGUCAGGUUGUGGUCAGUAGCUCCAGAAGUGCACCCACUGCUCCAAAAUAUCCCUUUAAUAAGAGAUAAGACAUCAAAUCAGAGCUGGAUUACUAUUAGUGUGGCAAACUUCCUGCUGGCAAUGAUGACAAUAUUAUGUUGGUGCCCCAAUUUAUAUUUACAGGGAUACUAUAGGCAUUAAAAUAUUUAGAUUGAUUCAAUUCAUCUCUAUGAGGAGAUGCUGAUUGGCCAGGGCUGUGUUUGACUUGAGCUGGCUCUGCCCCUGAUCUGCCUUCUUGACAGUCUCAGCCAAUCAUAUGGCGAAGCAUUGUAAUUGGCCCAAACCACUACUGCUUAUAAUGUAAGCAGGCA